rnacentral:tRNA from 1 species
UCUUUCUUAGUAUAUAUUAUGAGUACAUUUGAUUUCGAACCAAAUAGAUAUUAGAAAGAA